AGUGAACGCUGGCGGUAGGCCUAACACAUGCAAGUCGAACGGCAGCACAGGAGAGCUUGCUCUCUGGGUGGCGAGUGGCGGACGGGUGAGGAAUACAUCGGAAUCUACUCUGUCGUGGGGGAUAACGUAGGGAAACUUACGCUAAUACCGCAUACGACCUACGGGUGAAAGCAGGGGACCUUCGGGCCUUGCGCGAUUGAAUGAGCCGAUGUCGGAUCAGCUAGUUGGCGGGGUAAAGGCCCACCAAGGCGACGAUCCGUAGCUGGUCUGAGAGGAUGAUCAGCCACACUGGAACUGAGACACGGUCCAGACUCCUACGGGAGGCAGCAGUGGGGAAUAUUGGACAAUGGGCGUAAGCCUGAUCCAGCCAUACCGCGUGGGUGAAGAAGGCCUUCGGGUUGUAAAGCCCUUUUGUUGGGAAAGAAAUCCAGCUGGCUAAUACCCGGUUGGGAUGACGGUACCCAAAGAAUAAGCACCGGCUAACUUCGUGCCAGCCGCCGCAGUAA
rnacentral:rRNA from 1 species